AAAGACCAGCAGGCUCAGGAGAGCUUUGAUCAAGGCAAGUAUAACUUGGGAUCAUCCUUGUUACCUAUACACAAUUAAUACGUUAUAUAUCAUAUGCAUGCUUUCACCUUGAUAACCUUAGCAAAAUCAUAGAUGAUUGUUAUCCUGAAUUCCUUGUUACCUAUUUGGAUAUACAUUUGGGUAGUUCUUGCUAGUGCUUGAUUAAUAAUCCAUGAUCUUGUAACAUGAAUAUUUGGAUAUACAAUAAACAAUAAAAUAAGCUUUCUAGCAACUUGAACAUAAAGGGUGGAAAGAACUCUAGCUUUUGCUAGAUUGAUCUUGACCCUCCAUAAGAACUUAUCCCUUGGCAAAAGCUGGGACAACUCGUACAACCAUGAGGGCUACAUGGCUCUGGUUUUAGCUCAGUAUGAGGACCUUUUUCUAGCUUGUUAGCGGUUACCUUAAAUGGCGUAAGAAUGGUUAGACACGUUGGGUAUAGUGUGGCCUUUGUCCAUGUGUAUAGGCUGCGAGUUAUGUGCCAUGGAAGGGGGGCUCUAUAUCUGCCUGCCGAGUGAAUCUAAUGGUCCUAACUUGUUAGACGAAACCUUUGAAAGGCUUCAUAGUGAUCCCUGCCGACCUCCCUAGGAAGGGGGUUAACAGACUUGCAACCUCGGGCGAAAGGGUAAAUCACGACUCAUGGGUAAAGAUGUACAACCUCUGCAGAGUGUUAAAUCUGGUAUACUAGCCGUGCCCACGGAUACGGGCGGCCCGGAAAACUGACGGAAUAGAUGGACACUGAUGAACAUGAAUAAUGAUGAUAAAUGAUGGUUUAUUAUGUUGUUUAUGUGUGUUAUUCUUAAUUCUUGUAUACAUUGAUCAUGUGGUUAUGGGAUUUAAAUAUGCAACCUUGACAUUUGCUAUCUAAAUAUGAACAUGCUAUCUACAUAUAAAAGCUAAUUGCAGUCAAACCAGUGUCAGCUAAUUGAGCCUCAUGAACCCCUGGUUAUACUUGUUGAGUACGAUAUAUGCUCACUCUUGCAAUUUCCCCCACACUUCAGGAGAUGUUAGGCUUGUGCUCAACCAGUCAGUUGGAUCCUGUGGAGAGAAGUUAAUACCCGAAGUUUGAUGUUGUCUAUCCGCUGUUUGCUAUCAAAGGUUAUAUCUUUUAUACUACGUUCGUUAUAUAAUUUAUGCAUUGUCUUUUGAUAUUACCCCUUAUUUUGUAGCUAUAUGUGAGAUUUGGCUUUUAAAACUCACAUAUGGUGUAUAUCUGGUUUUGUCCUUAAAAUCGGGUAUUACAAAGUGGUAUCAGAGCAAUGCUGACUGUAGGACGCAAGCCUAGUUAGAAAUUGGUCAUCUUAAGGUUUUGGAAUUGUCAUAAAACCCUUGCUCUAUAAACCUUGAUAUUUUUCUCCAUACUAUAUCCUUUUCAUUGCUAUUCAUCUUCACCUUGAUGCUUAUUUUAAAAGUACUUAUUCUCAUCCCCACUCCUUGCUUGAUAUGCUUUUAGAACUUUUUCUUACCACCUUCUUGUGUCCUUGAAAUAUAAGUUUUAGGAUCUUUGCCCUUAAUAGGAAGAGAACGAUAGUACCGCAAGUUGAGUUAAUGCUUGAAGUGUGAACCUUUGAUGCUUGGUUUGGUUUGUUAUUAUGCUUAUGAUUGAUUUGGAUCUUUGUAAUGAGUGCAAUGAUCUUGUGGGUUUUCUCCAUGAUAUCAUUUAGUUUAUAGGCCUAAGGCAUAAGGAGUAGUGAAAUAAGUAGUUGGGUUUGGUUAUAUCCUGUUUCUAUCCUUUGCUGUUUUCUGAAGCAGACUGCAAUAAUUCUGGUGUAUCUCAAGUUCUGAUCAUGCAACGUCUAUCAAAUUUUUCUGGGAACAACUAGACUUCAAGAUAUUUCUCUGACCGCAAGGAUCACCCUCAUAUCUAUUAUGGUUUGGAAGUUACAAAAAUCACAAGAUGAUACAUAUGUGCUGUCAGGAAUCUGGAUCAGUUCGGUUGCCUACUGUUCUAGACAAAUAUAACUACAUAAUUUGGAAAAGUGUUCUAUAGAAGAGUUGUAGACAAUUUUCUAAGCUUUCCAACGGUGUAAGCUAGAACAUAUUUGGAUAAGUAGAACCUGAGAUAUGACAGAUGCAAUUGGAUGUUUCUGUUCUAUUUCAAAGUCUGGACAGUCCUAGUAUUUCCUAAUUUCAGCCAAAUUAACUUCAUAAUCUGGGAAAAAGUUGUAUACAAAAGUUUCAGAGGAUUUCAUAAGCUUUUCAACAUUGUAAGGAUCGUCAUUAUAUGGUUUCUAUGGCUCAUGAUAUGACUGUUUCAAGAUGUUGUGUCUGUGUUGUCAGACUUCCUGGACAGAUUUUAUGUUGGAUUAUCAAACCUUAUUUUAACGCCCGAAUAUGGGGAAGUGAUCAACAAGAAAGUUGUGGAGAAUUUGAUAAGCUUUCCAGCAGUGUAGACCAUAACUCUAUCAGGUUGACGGAACAUUAGUUGUAGCUGGUUUACUAAGUUGCUGUUUUUCAUCUUGCGAGGAAUUUCUGAUUUCUUGUUCUUGUCUAUGUAUAUGAGUUCUCUUGGAUAUAAGAAGCUCUUUUAUGGUAGUUAACCUACUCAUAAGAAUGUUCAAGCCAUCCUUGGUAUCCCCUAGCUGAUCUCAUCUUAAGGGGGGUAGCCAAGCUAUAGAAGUUGCAAGACAAAGGUUUUAUGUGUUCAAGUAUUUUAUUUGGAAGAUCUGUUAUUCCUUUGGUGGACAACUCCCUAUCAACCACAAAUAUCUUUGCUCAAGAGUGGUUACUCUUUGCACCAAUGAGUUCAGGUAUUCGUCAAGAUUGGUCUCCACAUUGAGCUAUUAUCAAAUGGAGGUUCAACUUCCAACAUGCCCAAGACAAGAUGACAUUAAUGAUAUUGGAAAGAGAUAUCGAACAUCUACGGAUGAUUCUUCAGAGAGUUAUGAAACCUUAUUAUUUCACCAUGCAUGGCUAGUAAGUUUUGAGUGAACUAAGUUUUCUAAAUUGAAUAUGUUGUCUCUAGUGGUGGGAUUAUGGAGAAGUAUAUGUCGAUGCCAAAGCUCUUAUCAUAAAGAGUGUGCUAGGAAAAGUUUGGACAACACCUAGAUUUGAGGAUUUGUGUGCGGAGGUUUAGUGAUAUUACUAACACUACAAAUUUGGAAAUUAAUAGGGCUCACUUUGGAAGAAGGAGAAGAAGGAUUGUGAAAUGGGACGAUGAAAGUAAUAAGGAGAAAGUUGAGUAUAUCAUGGUUGGAAAUGCAUCAGGUUUUAAAUGGAUGGGCAAGGAACAUAUACCCCAGAUAAGCUAUGAGUAAAAAAAAAACUUAUCUAUACGAAUUACAUUGCUGAACUCUUGGGAACCAUUGAUGGAGAUGUUCGGAGUGACAAAGGCCAUAGAAUGGUUACUAAGAAAGAGCUACUCAAGGAAGUGAACAAGGUUCAAAAGCGGAGUAUCUACAUCUCUUUGAUCACCAUCUUCCGAAUCUCGAGGACGAGAUUCAUCUUAAGGGGGGUAGAUUUGUAACACCCAAAAUUUUGCUCAUUUUGAAAUAGGUGAAAAACAAAUUAAUUUAUUGAUUUUGUGCUCAUGAAAAUAUAGAAAGAAUAAUAUUUUUCUUUAAAAUAAAAUUUAUCAUAAGGCUUAGCAACAAUUGGGUGUAGAACAUGCUGGUGCAUUUUAUUUCUGAGAUGAGUGAUUUUGACCAAAGUUUGAAAAUGGUUCAAACAGAUUUUUAAAUGGAUUUGAAGUAGGCUUUUGAUUAAAAAAAAAAGAAGAAAAGACAAAACCUCUCCUUUUCUUUCUCUCCAUCUCGGCCCAGCACCCCCUCCCCUUUCUCCCCUCGCGCGGCCCAGUGUCGCCCCAGCCCAACCGCGCCUCCCUUCCCCUCUUCUCUCUCUGACCAGCGGGCCCCAUACUUUCUCUCUCUGACCGGUGGGACCCUUCUGUCAGCGCCUCCCUUCUCCCUUUCUUCCCCAGCGCACGCAACCGAGCCGGACUCCACACCGGUCAAGACAAAUCCCGAUUUUGACGGGAUUUGAUCUUCCCGAUCCCUAUAAAGAUCACCAACCUUGCCUCGAAUCUCGUUUUUCCACCCGAGCCGCAAAAACCAAGCCCUAGCUGCCUUCCCCACCCGAGUUGGAUCUCGCCGAAUUGCAAAGCAAGCCGCUGCCGCUGCGAGAUCCGUUCGCGCUUCCCCGGCUCGAACUAAGGGCGCAGGUGAGCUCGUCUCUCCCUCCUCUUUGCUCUGGUGCUCUUGGUUCGGCUUUUGGCGCAAGGAAUCGGGAGUUUGAAGAAUGCCGACGAGCUUGGCGGCGGCAACAAUGGCCGCCACCGCACCGGAGCAGGGAGCCGGCCGGUCGGCCGCCGCUGGCUUUCCCCUGGCGAAGGUGGACCGUCCGAUCGAGGAUGAAGGGAUAGGAUUAGAAGAUACCUCUUCGGCGGCAUUUUUGCUAAAGAAUCCCCGGAGAAAUCUACAAAAUAACCCGCGGUCCUUGGCGUAAACCACUGAAUACGUUUUCUCAAUUCUAAAAGCGUACUUUCGUCGGUUUAAAAGAAAAUUACGUUUUCAGUAUUUACAGUUUUGCCACCAGAUUUAAAUUGCUUAUAACAUGCUCAUCUUAAAUCCGUUUUGGUCCAUUCAAAUUGCGUUAGGUUCGUAAUUACGAGCUCUACAUGUUAGAAGUAUUAUUUUACUGUUUUGAAACUUUUUAAUUUCCUGGUACCAUUUAAUUAAUUAUUUAUUUAUAGGAAAUCUUAGAAAAUUCAUAUCUUUCACGUUUUAAUUCCGAUUUUCGUGAACUUUACGUUUGUGUGAUCGUAGCGCUGCAUAGAAUAUUUUGAUAAACUUUUAUAUUUGUUUUACUACUGUUUGGUGUAUUGUUCUAAUUAUAGCUUGUUUGCUUCGUGUAUGUUUGUCUCCGAUUGUUUGCGUGCUGUUGAUUGAUGUUUGGGAAUAGACGGUGAGCCGUGCGUUGUUGAUCAAGACCAAGCUUUUAAAGACCAGCAGGCUCAGGAGAGCUUUGAUCAAGGCAAGUAUAACUUGGGAUCAUCCUUGUAACCUAUACACAAUUAAUACGUUAUAUAUCAUAUGCAUGCUUUCACCUUGAUAACCUUAGCAAAAUCAUAGAUGAUUGUUAUCCUGAAUUCCUUGUUACCUAUUUGGAUAUGCAUUUGGGUAGUUCUUGCUAGUGCUUGAUUAAUAAUCCAUGAUCUUGUAACAUGAAUAUUUGGAUAUACAAUAAACAAUAAAAUAAGCUUUCUAGCAACUUGAACAUAAAGGGUGGAAAGAACUCUAGCUUUUGCUAGAUUGAUCUUGACCCUCCAUAAGGACUUAUCCCUUGGAAAAAGCUGGGACAACUCGUACAACCAUGAGGGCUACAUGGCUCUGGUUUUAGCUCAGUAUGAGGACCUUUUUCUAGCUUGUUAGCGGUUACCUUAAAUGGCGUAAGAAUGGCUAGACACGUUGGGUAUAGUGUGGCCUCUGUCCAUGUGUAUAGGCUGCGAGUUAUGUGCCAUGGAAGGGGGGCUCUAUAUCUGCCUGCCGAGUGAAUCUAAUGGCCCUAACUUGUUAGACGAAACCUUUGAAAGGCUUCAUAGUGAUCCCUGCCGACCUCCCUAGGAAGGGGGUUAAGAGACUUGCAACCUCGGGCGAAAGGGUAAAUCACGACUCAUGGGUAAAGAUGUACAACCUCUGCAGAGUGUUAAAUCUGGUAUACUAGCCGUGCCCACGGAUACGGGCGGCCCGGAAAACUGACGGAAUAGAUGGACACUGAUGAACAUGAAUAAUGAUGAUAAUUGAUGGUUUAUUAUGUUGUUUAUGUGUGUUAUUCUUAAUUCUUGUAUACAUUGAUCAUGUGGUUAUGGAAUUUAAAUAUGCAACCUUGACAUUUGCUAUCUAAAUAUGAACAUGCUAUCUACAUAUAAAAGCUAAUUGCAGUCAAACCAGUGUCAGCUAAUUGAGCCUCAUGAACCCCUGGUUAUACUUGUUGAGUACGAUAUGUGCUCACUCUUGCAAUUUCCCCCACACUUCAGGAGAUGUUAGGCUUGUGCUCAACCAGUCAGUUGGAUCCUGUGGAGAGAAGUUAAUACCCGAAGUUUGAUGUUGUCUAUCCGCUGUUUGCUAUCAAAGGUUAUAUCUUUUAUACUACGUUCGUUAUAUAAUUUAUGCAUUGUCUUUUGAUAUUACCCCUUAUUUUGUAGCUAUAUGUGAGAUUUGGCUUUUAAAACUCACAUAUGGUGUAUAUCUGGUUUUGUCCUUAAAAUCGGGUAUUACA
rnacentral:lncRNA from 1 species